ensembl:lncRNA SMYD3-IT1 SMYD3 intronic transcript 1
UUUUUUUUUUUUUUAAAUCUCCACUUCCAUUUUCAAACAAAAUUUCCUUUGAGAUUUUUUUCCCCCUCUUUGGGAAUAGGGUCUCACCCUGUUGCCCAGGCUGGAGUGCAGUAGCGUGAUCUCGGCUCACUGCACCUCUGCCUCCUGGCUUUCAAGCUGAGGUGGGAGGAUUGCUUGAGCCUAGGAAGUCGAGGCUGCAGUGAGCUGUGAUCUCACCACUGCACUCCAGCCUGGACUACAAAGUGAGACCCUGUCUCAAAAAAAUUUAUCAUGGCAUGACAAAUGCUGUGAUUCGGUGUACUGAUUGGGUCCGAAACAUUUGCUACAAAUAUAGAAAAUGUAUAUACUCCUAAGCAUAAAU